CCUACGGGAGGCAGCAGUGGGGAAUAUUGGACAAUGGGGGCAACCCUGAUCCAGCCAUGCCGCGUGUGUGAAGAAGGCCCUCGGGUUGUAAAGCACUUUCAGUGAGGAAGAACGCCUGGUGGUUAAUACCCAUCAGGAAAGACAUCACUCACAGAAGAAGCACCGGCUAACUCCGUGCCAGCAGCCGCGGUAAUACGGAGGGUGCGAGCGUUAAUCGGAAUUACUGGGCGUAAAGCGCGCGUAGGUGGCUUGAUAAGCCGGUUGUGAAAGCCCCGGGCUUAACCUGGGAACGGCAGCCGGAACUGUCAAGCUAGAGUGCAGGAGAGGAAGGUAGAAUUCCCGGUGUAGCGGUGAAAUGCGUAGAGAUCGGGAGGAAUACCGGUGGCGAAGGCGGCCUUCUGGACUGACACUGACACUGAGGUGCGAAAGCGUGGGGAGCAAACAGGAUUAGAUACCCGGGUAGUC
rnacentral:rRNA from 1 species